rnacentral:rRNA from 1 species
UACGUAGGUUGCGAGCGUUGUCCGGAUUUACUGGGCGUAAAGCGCGCGCAGGCGGUUCCGAAAGUCGAAUGUGAAAGCUCCUGGCCCAACUGGGAGAGGCCGUUCGAAACUUCGGAACUUGAAGGCGGGAGAGGCAGAUGGAAUUUCCGGUGUAGCGGUAAAAUGCGUAGAUACCGGAAGGAACACCAGUGGCGAAAGCGAUCUGCUGGCCCGCCCUUGACGCUCAGGCGCGAAAGCUAGGGGAGCGACC